rnacentral:sRNA from 1 species
AUUUUGACCAGCAGCGGUGUGAUUGUUGUAAUCUCGCCUAGAAGGAGGUACUCUGAACAGACAAGAAUAGACAUUUGCCUGCUGAUAUAUCCGAAACACAAGAUUCCAAUCUACGCAAGUCUUACCGUACGGGCAUUAUCCACUUCCGUUGCUCCCUCAUCGAAGAAGCAGUAUCAUACCAUCACAAAUUCGAUCAAGCAGACCCGCAGAAGCCUUCAUGUUCCAGGUGCUGAGCCUAUUAUUUAUUCCGUCGAUCGCGCUGCCCCUUAAAAGCCCGCAAAUAUUAUAAGCUAGAAUGAAAUUGUCUCCUCUUCAACCCUCCUUUCCUUUCAAGACCAUCGUGUGAAGGUCCUCUCUGCGAUAUUCAAUUUUAACCAACUUCCUUCACUCUCACGACGCAAUGUAUGAAUGGGGAUGAAAGACAUACGCAGCUUGUACGCAUAUUCCCAAACACAUGAAUCAAGAUCACAUUAUCUUUUGUACACUCGCAAGAAGUGAUGCAAAUGACCCAUGCCAACCUGCCACUGAGUUUCUGAGAGAUCUCCUGUUGAUUCUCGAUGCGCAAGACACAAAUAUAACGGGCUCCUGUCCUCUCUGUGCUGGAACAACACCGACUAAUUCCUCUGACUAGAUCGAUUGUCUUGCCCCCAAUUCAGAGAAGCAGAUUGCUGGUAAACCUGCUUGCGAGCUAACUCUCCAAGAUCCUUAAAUGUACUAAAUAUAGUUAGCUUAGUUAAGUCAUAGAAGAGGUAACGCACAAUGAAUCAAUUCCUAAGACUUGAAAGACUUCAAGGUCUAACUUGUUAAGAUCGACAUUUGGAUGUGUUUUGCAGUAGAGAUCGAGAACAAGAUAUAACCAAGAAGAAGGAGGAUUACUACAUAUAUGUGUAUAGUAGUCUUCUAGAGGUUGAAUAUCUCGCCAUGUAAAGAAAGUGUUGAUGAUUGCUGAAGGUUUUUGAAAUGGUUGUUCGCGAUAUCGAAGGAUUAUCCGCACUGGAGUAGUCUGACUCAUUUCGUCAUAAAUGUAAGAAGAAUUGCUGAUAUAGCUUGUAAAAACAGUAUUAUACCAGAG